rnacentral:lncRNA from 1 species
GAUAGCUGUUUAGUGAUGAUUUCAGCAUAUUGACACCUGAUUUGUAUGUUCCAGCAUUAUGAUCUGUUGAGCAUAUUCAUGAGUAGCAUAUAUGUUUACUUGGUUAUUCCAUAUAUGCUUCAGAUGAGUUGAUAUUGAUUGUGGUGAUAUUGAUGAUUUACUCCAUAUUCUCUAUGUUGAGUUCAUGUUCAUGUUGUUAUUGAUCUUGAGAUUUCAUCUCGAGCCAUGAUUAUAUUCUGUCUCAUGUGUAUAGUACUCUCUACUCCACUCACUGAGUAUUCAUAUACUCACUCCCCAGUUUGGUGUUUUUGAUUGCAGGGCAGGUAUUGUAUAGAAAAGAGCAGGGUUAGAGAUUGCCUGCUAGCUGUGCCGCUCCAUAGUAUAGUAUAAUGUAGAUAGAGGUUUAUCCCCUUUUGGUGUAUUAUAAACCUUCUGUUGUAUUUAGUGUAUAGUUACAGUCAUAGAUCUUGUUGUGGAUAUGGGUUUGACCAUGGAUGGAAUGGGAACCAGAUUUUUAUACAGUUGAGUUAUAUGCCUGUGAUGAUGUAUUGAUAUAUAUUGUCCAGGUUCGUUAUGUGACAGGUUAUGUGAUUGCUGCUCUGACAGGUAGCGUUGUUAUAUGUAAUGAGAUAAUCCUGACAGAUCACCAUAGAAAAGGUGAUCAUUUUGUGCAUGCAUCAUGCCAAAAUUUUUCAGAAAUUAUUG